rnacentral:ncRNA from 1 species
UUAAGGAUUUGAUGCAUUGAUCCACCUAGACCCAAUACGGGCGUCAAGGGCAGGUGGGGAGCGAGUGACGCGACCGGCAGAACCGGCU